UUAUUCUCGACUCCUAGGAGUCGAGAUUAAGAAUUGAACGAUGGACACUAAGGGCGUGAAUUUUUCUUGCUACCUGAUUGGAAGAUAUCACGAGACGUGAAUAAUUAAAAUUUAUUGAUUGGUUAGGACAAUCCAAACCAAGUAAAUGUCCUUCAAUCCCGUAGAGUAUCGGAUUUGUCGUCUCUAUUUUAGCAAUUAGAUUUUACACAGGUAACUUUUAUCUAUAAAUAGACGAAUCUUCUGGAGUAAACAACAACGUUAAACGAUACUACAAGUUCAUAAUGUGUGACCUCACGUGUGUGGUAAAAUUUGUUGAUUGAUGCACGUGGCUAUUCUAGUAAAUGAAUUAAUCUACAAAGCGAGAGCUCUUUCCAUUUUCAUCAGCUAAGAGUCGAAUUUAGCACUUUUUGAAAGGCUAUCGCUUGUA
rnacentral:lncRNA from 1 species